UACGGGGGGGGCAAGCGUUGUUCGGAAUUACUGGGCGUAAAGGGCUCGUAGGCGGCCAACUAAGUCAGACGUGAAAUCCCUCGGCUUAACCGGGGAACUGCGUCUGAUACUGGAUGGCUUGAGUUCGGGAGAGGGAUGCGGAAUUCCAGGUGUAGCGGUGAAAUGCGUAGAGAUCGGGAAGAACAUCGGUGGCGAAAGCGCUCUACUGGACGGUGACUGACACUCAGGGACGAAAGCUAGGGGAGCGAAUGGG
rnacentral:rRNA from 1 species